rfam:Salmo salar isolate Sally breed double haploid chromosome ssa27, whole genome shotgun sequence.
GGCCGGUUAGCUCAGUUGGUUAGAGCGUGUUGCUAAUAACGCCAAGGUCGUGGGUUCGAUCCCCAUACUGGCCA